CUCAGUGUGAGAAUCAUCUCUUUCAGUGGUGAAGGAACAAGAGCUGGCAUUUAUGGUUCAAGCAAAUAUAGCCAGAACUCAUGAUUUUGCACCACCUAGUUAUAAAAGCUCUCACACAUAUUUUUCUACUUUUCAUUUUCCUUGUCUGUAAAAUGGGCACAUUAAACACCAUUUCACCAGUAUUUUUAAUGGUUUAAUUUUUAAAUGGAUAUGAAAGACCCUGAGUAUUAUCCACUUAGCAUAUUCUGGAUGAAGUGGGUUUGCAAAUUAGUCUGAUUGAGACGUGAGUCAUAGUGUAUCAGUCUCGAGGGUUCUCUAGAGGGACAGAACUAAUAGGAUAGAUGUAUAUAAGAAAGGGAGUUUAUUAAGGAGGAUUGACUCACACGAUUGCGAGGUGAAGUCCCAUGAUAGGCCAUCUGUAAGCUGAGGAGCAAAGAAGCCAAAUAGUGGCUCAGUCCGAGUCCCAAAACCUCAAAAGUAGCGAAGCCGACAGUGAAACCUUCAGUCUCUGGCCAAAGGCCCGUGAGCCUUUAAGUCCAAGAGUCCAAAAGCUGAAGAACUCGGAGUCUGAUGUUUGAGGACUGGAAGCAUCCAGCAUGGGAAGAAGCUGAAGGCUGGGAGACUCGACAAGUCUGCUCAUUACACCUUCUUCUGCGGGCUAUUUCUAGCAGUGCUGGCAGCGAAUUGGAUGGUGCUCACCCAGAUUGAGGGAAAUGAAGUGAAGACAAUGGGCUUCAUGGUAAGAAACCUUGUUAUUACGGUCACAACAUAUCACCAGGCAGUAUUCAAGUGAAGAAGGCUUUAACAUUUGUGACAGUUCAGUGGCUCUAUUUCUGAUGAAUGAACAACAGCUCUACAUAUGCCUUUGGAAGAGAAACGUCCAGAAGAAUCCAGAGAAAUACUACAACAUACUAUUUGGCACACCUUUGAAAGUUAAUGAAAACUUGCUGAGUGAAUCAAUGAAGAAGUCAACAAAUCACUCAGGUGAAAUCUGUCAUUCUUUAUCAAGCAGCUAGAGCACGCUCAUUAAUUAAAAGUAUCAUAAAUCACUAGAACUAACAAAUGAAUAUUAGCAAAAGUCGUAUUUUUAGAAUCUGAGGAAGCACACUUAUUAGGUGUUAAAGCAAGUCUUUUCUCACUUUAUGGAAGACACGCAGACAAAACCUGGGAGACUGGUGCUGUCCAGGAGAAUCUUGAAACAACUCAUACAAAAAGAAAGAGUUUUAUUUGGAAGAGAUUUAUAAGAAGUGAUAUAUGGCAAGCUAUAUUUAGCAAGAAAUCUCAAUCCUAAUAUUGAUUCUGCCUGGCCAAACUUACUGGAAGGUAAAUGCCAGGUCCUCCAGAGAGAGCACAAGCUUUAGAAAUCACCAAAUGCAUAGCUCAGGGAUCUGAAGUUAGUUGAUAAUAAGGUUAGUGGUUGGUACCUGCUACCCACCUAGUCAGUGGCUGGCAACAGCAGAAGACAUAGGUCAAAGGGAAGCCACUGCCAGCUGUAUAGUUCAAGAUCUA
rnacentral:lncRNA from 13 species